GACGAACGCUGGCGGCGUGCUUAACACAUGCAAGUCGAACGGAAAGGCCCUGCUUUUGUGGGGUGCUCGAGUGGCGAACGGGUGAGUAACACGUGAGUAACCUGCCCUUGACUUUGUGAUAACUCCAGGAAACUGGGGCUAAUACCGCAUAGGAGCUCCUGCUGCAUGGUGGGGGUUGGAAAGUUUCGGCCGUUCGGGAUGGUCUCGCGGCUUAUCAGCCUGUUGGUGGGGUAGUGGCUUACCAAGGCUUUGACGGGUAGCCGGCCUGAGAGGGUGACCGGGCACAAUUGGACUGAGAUACGGCCCAGACUGCUACGGGAGGCAGCGGUGGGGAAUAUUGCACAAUGGGCGGAAGCCUGAUGCAGCGACGCCGCGUGCGGGAUGACGGCCUUCGGGGUGAAAACAGCUUUCGCCUGUGACGAAGCGUGAGUGACGGUAAUGGGUAAAGAAGCACCGGCUAACUACGUG
rnacentral:rRNA from 1 species